AACGAACGCUGGCGGCAGGCCUAACACAUGCAAGUCGAGCGAGGACUUCGGUCCUAGCGGCGGACGGGUGAGUAACGCGUGGGAACGUGCCCUUUGCUUCGGAAUAGCCCUGGGAAACUGGGAGUAAUACCGGAUGAGCCCUUUGGGGGAAAGAUUUAUCGGCGAAGGAUCGGCCCGCGUUGGAUUAGGUAGUUGGUGGGGUAAUGGCCUACCAAGCCGACGAUCCAUAGCUGGUAUGAGAGGAUGAUCAGCCACACUGGGACUGAGACACGGCCCAGACUCCUACGGGAGGCAGCAGUGGGGAAUCUUAGACAAUGGGGGAAACCCUGAUCUAGCCAUGCCGCGUGAGCGAUGAAGGCCUUAGGGUUGUAAAGCUCUUUCAGCUGGGAAGAUAAUGACGGUACCAGCAGAAGAAGCCCCGGCUAACUCCGUG
rnacentral:rRNA from 1 species